rnacentral:rRNA from 1 species
CCUACGGGAGACAGUAGUGGGGAAUAUUGCGCAAUGGGCGAAAGCCUGACGCAGCGACGCCGCGUGAGGGAUGAAGGUCUUCGGAUCGUAAACCUCUGUCAGCAGGGAAGAACGGUCACUGUGCUAAUCAGCAGUGAAUUGACGGUACCUGCAAAGGAAGCACCGGCUAACUCCGUGCCAGCAGCCGCGGUAAUACGGAGGGUGCGAGCGUUAAUCGGAAUUACUGGGCGUAAAGCGCUCGUAGGCGGUAUGUCAAGUCAAGGGUGAAAUCCCCGGGCUCAACCUGGGAACUGCCUUUGAAACUGGCAGACUUGAGUGUGGGAGAGGAGAGUGGAAUUCCAGGUGUAGGAGUGAAAUCCGUAGAGAUCUGGAGGAACAUCAGUGGCGAAGGCGACUAUCUGGCACAUAACUGACGCUGAGGAGCGAAAGCGUGGGUAGCAAACAGGAUUAGAUACCCGGGUAGUC